rnacentral:tRNA from 1 species
CGUGGCGUGGCGGACAUGGCCCACCACGUCGCGGUUGUCGGCCGGGUUGCGGACGGCCCGGAACGGUUCCGCCUCGUCCGCCUCGG